AUUUCCCAAAACUAUUUACCCUCUCUCUCUCUCAUUUCUAUUGGACUUUCGCAAAGCUCCCUCUCCCCUCAUUGCAGCCGAGGCUCUGCUAACUAUUUCAGUUCUUUAAGCCUACUCAAACUUUUCAAAACCUCCUCGUGCUCUCCUUUUCGCCAUUUUUGUUUUAAUUCGAUUCCCCCCUUCAACUCUCUCUAUUUUACCUAUUCGAAUUCAGUUUGUCAAAAGACAUUUGAUAUUUAGUCCCAAGGGCCAAAGCAUUAUGGAAUUUCAGAAUACUAGUAUAUAUGUGUGUGGGUGGCUGAAUGGUUGAUCAACUUCAUAGUUCUAUCAAAUGACUCAUUUGACAUGUCCUAUUCAUUUUCCAUUUAACUCUUUUCCCAUCUCUACAAAAGGAUUUUGUUUACAGAACGAUGUCAAGCGAAGAUGGUUCCCAAGAUCACCAAUACCAACAACCACGAUACUACCAACAAACUUCUGGUGCAGGAAAUAGCUUUGAGGGGAGUUAUGGCCAGGUUGUGGAAGUAGGAUGGUAUAUUCUUGGUGAAAAUCAACAACAUGUUGGACCUUAUGCGUCUU